CGUAGGGUCCGAGCGUUGUCCGGAAUUAUUGGGCGUAAAGGGCUCGUAGGCGGUUUGUCGCGUCGGGAGUGAAAACUCAGGGCUCAACCCUGAGCGUGCUUCCGAUACGGGCAGACUAGAGGUAUGCAGGGGAGAACGGAAUUCCUGGUGUAGCGGUGGAAUGCGCAGAUAUCAGGAGGAACACCGGUGGCGAAGGCGGUUCUCUGGGCAUUACCUGACGCUGAGGAGCGAAAGCAUGGGGAGCGAACAGGAUUAGAUACCCUGGUAGUCCAUGCCGUAAACGUUGGGCGCUAGGUGUGGGGACCUUCCACGGUCUCCGUGCCGCAGCUAACGCAUUAAGCGCCCCGCCUGGGGAGUACGGCCGCAAGGCUA
rnacentral:rRNA from 1 species